UACGAAGGGGGCUAGCGUUGCUCGGAAUGACUGGGCGUAAAGGGCGCGUAGGCGGAUGGCACAGUCAGAUGUGAAAUUCCCGGGCUUAACCUGGGGGCUGCAUUUGAUACGUGUUGUCUUGAGUUCGGAAGAGGGUCGUGGAAUUCCCAGUGUAGAGGUGAAAUUCGUAGAUAUUGGGAAGAACACCGGUGGCGAAGGCGGCGACCUGGUUCAUUACUGACGCUGAGGCGCGAAAGCGUGGGGAGCAAACAGG
rnacentral:rRNA from 1 species